rnacentral:tRNA from 1 species
GCCCGGUAAGCUCAAUCGGUAGAGCAAACUCCUUUAUAAAAGGACGUCACGGGUUCGAGUACCGGACUGGCCG